AUUAGAGAGCAAGAUCCACUAAAACGAGGAUUGAAAC
rnacentral:other from 1 species